rnacentral:misc_RNA from 1 species
GUGAAUCAUCGAAUUUUUGAACGCAAAUUGCGCUUCUUGGUAUCCCGGGAAGUAUGCCUGUUUGAGGGUCAGUAUAAACAAAAAAUCGGUUUGGUUGUAAAUUGUGACGUUUUCGGAGUUUGGGCUUAUCUUAACUUUUUUGGUUAAGAGGCUUAAAAUUGACCUUUUUUGGGAAUUUUUAGAAGUCAAUAAAUUUUUUUUUAUUCGUCUAUUCUUAAUGCCAAAAUCUUAUUAGAUGCGAUUACAUCGUGUGGUUUCGUGUCCAUAAAAUUUUCUUGAUUUGACCU